rnacentral:lncRNA from 1 species
GAAGCGGAAGUUCAUCCGACUUUUUAACGGCCCAAACAACCAAAAUCUUUCUUGGUAGACAUGGUUUUCCAUCGUUAAUGCGGUGGAGGAUAUCACUUAAGAUCGCUAAGAAUGGCGAAAUCCCAAUGCCACCUGCAACUAAAAUCAGGUUCUCAUACCUGCGAAAACAGGAUCACCACGUCAGGUUACAUAUGAAGGUGACUUAAAAGUUUAAUCCGGACAUGAGAAAGUGAAACAUUGAAAGGUAUGGGAGUACGUACAUCAAGUGGUAUGGCAUUUCAUGCCCGUAAGGUCCCUCAACGGAAGCUGUGAUCGUGGUUUUUGAUAGUUCAGGCUCAGACAUGCUCAAGAUACUGUCCCUCAGCCUCGCUGUCCAUCCCCCAAGGACCUUUAUGAGAAUAGCUAGAUGAUGUUUACCGUCUAGAGGACUGGACGAAACACUGAAAGGAUGCCAUUGCAACCACGAUAAUUCUCGAACUU